UACGUAGGGUGCGAGCGUUAAUCGGAAUUACUGGGCGUAAAGCGUGCGCAGGCGGUUUUGUAAGCCCGGUGUGAAAUCCCCGGGCUUAACCUGGGAAUGGCAUUUGGGACUGCAAGGCUUGAGUGCGGCAGAGGAGACUGGAAUUCCUGGUGUAGCAGUGAAAUGCGUAGAUAUCAGGAGGAACACCGAUGGCGAAGGCAGGUCUAUGGGCUGACACUGACGCUCAUGCACGAAAGCGUGGGGAGCAAACAGG
rnacentral:rRNA from 1 species